UGCUAAAAUAUAUUUGACUGAUUUGUCAAGCGUUUGUUUAUUUCCUUAUCGCUAUAGUGAGUGUUAUUUUUCGAUAAUUAAACAAGCUAGUGGGGUUUUUCCAAGUGUUACGAUUCGUGUUACUCAGUUUUGCGACUCUGUCUGGAGGAUUUCAUCAUCGACAUUCUAUUCUGCGCCUUGACAUUUAAUGUUCGGUGGAUUUUCUGGUUAGAUUCGAAGGAUAAUCGCUAAACUGCUAAUUUUGAAGGUACUUGAUACUCAAUAUACUCUCGUUUGUAUUCAAUCAAGUUCUUUUGACAUGUUUUGCAGCGUAUGACCGAUGUACGGAGUGUCCUUUUACGAGAUUAAUGCUGGAAAAAAAAGGGGGGGGCAGUGAUCUCUGAUAACUCCGAUGUACACUGUGCUCAAGGUCACUACUGGAAGGCAUUAAUCAACGGGAGCGAAUUUGAGUGCAGUCAUCAAAAAGGCGCAAUAGGGAAUUUCUAACCCUUCUUUUAAAAGCUCUUAAAAAGUGUUCGAUCAUUAGAUGAGUUCCACAGAAGUUCUGCUUAUCGUAUUUAUAAGGAAAGUUCUUCUGCAUUUUGAAUUCUGUUCAAAAGAACUUCAUACAGUUUAUUGAACAUCCGCCAAUGGUUUUUACUUCUCAACUUGAAAGCAAAAAGUAUCUAUACAGUUCUUGAAUCAGUGAAUCGGCACCAAGCCCGAACUUUCAUACGGAGGAAAACUUUUAAUCGAAAUGAAUGGCUGGAUAGUGAACCAAAGAUUUUGAUGUUUAUGCUACAUCAGUGCCGGAAUUUCUUUGCUCUCCUGUGAGUUUGUCACAAGUUUCAAGUCGUGUAACGUUUGAGCAUUCUGGUUUGUGAGUAUUACUUGUUUCCUGUAAUAAAGUCUGAUAAACUAGAAUUUUAGAGGCAGGUUGAAAUCGGAAAGCGCUACCUGUCGGCUGAGCGCUUUAAAGUUCUAUCGCACAAGCCGGACGUUCGGUGUUCCAUAUAGAUCGAAUUACUCUGUUUGUCUAAUUGAACUUUUGAUUUGUCGAAUGGAACUUUUGGUUCAAGAGGCUAAGCUGUAGGAGUUCGAUUCUACAAACAGAAACGCUUUGAUACACCGAAGAGUGUGACCCAUAUGGAACCGUGGUCGAACGGGGCCCAUACGAUCGAACUUUAUUUCCAUUGUAAGAAGAAAGUUCGAUUACGUUACAUUUCAUCCGAAAGCGACAACAAUGGCUGAUAGACCGAGAAGUAGAUGAAAGAAUUCUUUUGUAUGCUUCCUGAGUGAAACGUAACUACCCAUAUCAAAGCGAAGAAGAAGGGAAAAUCGAUAACGCAGGUAAAUAUGGAUGGGAAAAAGGCGAGGCAACCGGAGGGUCGUUGAGCGACAGUGUUUCCAGAUUUUGCUGAAAAAUCAGCAGUUUUCUAAAUUUAAACCCUUGUAAAAUGUUCGUAUUUAAUGGCAUAAUCUGACAACCUUGUUGAGUGAGGCCAUUGUUUACAUUACGAUCGAAAGCCUUAACAUUUCAUGACUCAUCCGCGUGAAAAACUCGGGGCGGAACGAGGACGAAGGCUAAGAAAAGCGGAUGCCCGCUCUGCCGUGCUAAGGAAAAACGCCGUAUGAACCUUCAGGCGUUGCCAAAUUACCUUUGAUAAAACACGAAUUUCCUGGUAAACUUUUGAAUAUUUUCCUUCCAAUUUUUCAGCUAAUUUUGCUCGCAAUUUCGCCCAAAGUUCCUGAAAAUUCCAAGGACAAAUAUCCAUAGCUUACUUCAAAAAUAAACAUUUAUCGAGGGAAAUUUGGCAACUCUCGAAUGUAUAUACGGCCUUCUUCCUUAGGACGGCAGCGCUUUUCCAC
rnacentral:lncRNA from 1 species